rnacentral:rRNA from 1 species
GUGAGGAAUUUUCCGCAAUGGGCGAAAGCCUGACGGAGCAAUGCCGCGUGAAGGAUGAAGGCCUAUGGGUUGUAAACUUCUUUUCUCAGAAAAGAAUUAUGACGGUAUCUGAGGAAUAAGCAUCGGCUAACUCUGUGCCAGCAGCCGCGGUAAGACAGAGGAUGCAAGCGUUAGCCGGAAUGAUUGGGCGUAAAGCGUCUGUAGGUUGUUUAAAAAGUAUUCUGUCAAAGAUUAGGGCUUAACCCUAGAUAGGCAGAAUAAACUUUUAAGCUAGAGUUUGGUAGAGGCAGAGGGAAUUCCCGGUGGAGCGGUGAAAUGCGUAGAUAUCGGGAGGAACACCAAAGGCGAAGGCACUCUGCUGGGCCAAUACUAACACUGAGAGACGAAAGCGAGGGGAGCAAAUGGGAUUAGAAACCCCGGUAGUCC